GUUUUUUCCCCCACUGUGUGUGUGUAUGUAUGUGUGUAUAUAUAGAUAGAUGUAUGUAUACUCGGAGAGGAGCACAAUUAUCUACUGGUAAUCAGAGUGCAUAUAUGUCACCAUUGUAGUAAGUCAUACUGUUCUACAUUUCCCUUUCGAGCAGGAUGUCUCUCCUUGGCUCUUUUGACCAUUACAGUCUGAGCUGAACCAUGCUUCCUCCCUAUUUUCUAGACGUGAAGUGGAUGUUUUAGCCAAUGGAAAGGAAAAAACAACCUGCGCUACAUAUGGAUACAUGUUCUGGUAAAAGCAGAAAUAAAUCAAAUGGCAGGGGACUAAUGUAUGCCAUAAAAACAAUCUGCAAGGAUCAUGUACCUUGAUAGGCCAUUUCAUUCUGGGUGCUGGUAGUUGACCAGUAGAGGUCACUCUCCCCUCUGAACUAAGGCCCAAAGACGGUACAGCAGCACAAAAAGACACAACCCAAGACCUAGACCAAUCAUAGGACUAAUAUAUUAUCAAACCUUUGGCGAAAUCUAUCUUUUCACAAUAUGAAGAUGGAUGGUUGAGCUGAUAAGCGUACUGGCCAGUGUUUGUCUGAACGUGCCGCCUCCUACUACUUAAUGGGUUCAUUGGGCCAGUGUGUGUCGGGGUGUGAAGCCCCUGUCCCUGAGCCUGGCAGACAGGCAUAGAGAAGACGGCUUAACACAAGAACAAUGGAGUCCUUUGACCAAAACGACGCCCCCAAGAUGUGGCCUCCUGUCACCGUGGCAACCCCCCCCAUGGGAUAGCGAACGGGCUGACAGCUGGAGAGGGAGAGUUACAAAAAUGUAGUCUUGAACCUUUCCUCCAUCAUUUCCUCUCUCAAUCAUCACUCUGUGUGCAGGAGGUCUAUAUGUUACACUGCACUUUCCAGCUGUUGCAAUGGGAAUGCAUGUGGCUCCACUUUGUGACCUAUCUCCGGUUUUGAUAUACUGUGUAGGCCUGGCUGCCCUACCGAUAAAUAAAGUGAGUGUGACACCAAGUGAUAAAUCACGCAAAUGUUACUUCCUGUUCAUGGAAUAAUGACAUUUAUUCACAGAUGGGGUCAUUGAUACUUUGAGUGAUUUACAAGAUCUUACAGUAAAUCUGUUUUUACACGUCCUGCAAAAAGCUACUCCAACAAAAGAAAACCGUUCCUUAAUAACAAGGUCACACUUGAUUUAUGUAACGUUACAUACAUUAUACACAUCCCUUCUCUUCGAAGGUCAAUGGGGAUGACAGUUUGGUUUCUAUAUGCUCCUCAGGACCUUAGUGUUGUAGGAUGAGGAUCUGAGCUCUCUAUUAUUCAUGCUCUGUGGUGUCACUCUCCCUCAGCUCUGCAUGGGUUUCCUAUAGAGCUAAGGACAGCGGGAGGAUGAGAGCAACAAAGAGUGGAAUGGACUACUGCAGCACCAAGGGCUCCAAGGGCCCCAGCCUCUAAUCUAUUAGUGUUUUUCUCCUGAUCUGACCAGUUGCUAUGUCUGUAGCGGUGUUAGCUGGUUGCUACCUCUUUUCCUUUGACAGGUGACUUGUCCCAGGGUUCUAAUAUGAGUAGAUAAAUACAAGCCUAAUUUGAAUAGAAGGUUAAGUGGGAUAGAGCUGUUCUGGUCACUUGAUUGACAAGUGACUUGAGGUAUGAUAACAAGCCAACUAACAUGCAACAUGCUCUGAGUGAGGGACAAACAAACUGAAGAACAGUAUUGCCAGUAGCAGUAACACUCCUACAGUUGAAGUCGGAAGUUUACUUACACUUUAGCCAAAUACAUUUAAACUCAGUUUUCACACUUUUUUG